CGUAAUUCUAUUCCAUAAGUGGUUCUACUCUUAGCGGUUAAGGAUGUCUAUGUUAAUCGUUCCGAUAAAGUAAUAUUCAAGCAUGUGCAGGUCCUCUUUGUUGUCUGAUACACUUUGUUGCUUCAGUUUGACUAGUAUUAUUAGACUUAUCUUACUGAAAAGGUGAACCAGAUAUGUGAGCUCGAUGAUGUUUUUCUUUUUAUUUAACUAUAUAACAAGUGAAAGUACCUUGGACGACCAAGGGUACUUUCGGUAUUAUUCUAUUAUUUUAGGGGCGACUUGGUAAUUUAGUAGAUCUGACUCAUGUAGCUUCCAAACCAUGUGCACGUGUGCAUUUUGACAGACCACUUAAUUUGGUUACAUUGGUUUCUUCUCCAAUUUCUCUGUCGUUUGCUCCCUCUUUUCUGGUGAGUUCUUCUUCUUCCUACUUCCCUUUUUGCUCAAUUUUUGUUCUAAAUGUUUUGAUUUGUGUUCUUAGUCCUUUAUAUUUUUAUCAUUUACUUCUUUAUGUGUUUGUUAUAUGCUUUUUUUAUUCUUUUUGGAAUCUCUUGUGACUGUUUCAGUUUUAUCGCUACCAAAUAGCAGGGAAAUGGAAGAAUACCAGGAAAGUAGUUUUUUUUUGUUCCGUUGCGUUUCCCUUUGUUUUUCGAACAUGCACCACAGGUUCUCACCAAAUUGUAUUAGCAAGGGAAGCCGAAGUGAAUUAUACAGUACUUAAUUGGGAUAUAUUUGUGCCUCAUGUGUUCCAAUCCCGUUCGAAAGCUAUUCUUUGCUGUUGCAUGUGUUAGCUUGGUGAUACAUGAUUCAGGAAGUAUGAUUUCUUUUUUAUUAAUUUUUUUCUUGUUUUUGAUUUUCUUCAAUUGUGAUCCUAUCAUUGAUUUUGUUGCUGGCUUCAGUUUUUAGUACCAUUUUCUUGCUGAAUUUUGGUUUGAUUUACUCGAUAUUCAGCAAUUUUUGUAUUUUGUUCUAAUGAAUCAGAUUCGACAUUAUUAUGAGAAUGUCAUGCAAAGUAGCCAAAUAUUCAGUUCGAGACGAGUAUUACACGUUAAAUUAUACACAUAUACAGUAGGUUCACUUUUCACUGGCAAUGAAUGGUUAUUGUUUCUGAAUAGCCGCAUCGAAAAUGAGACAACUACACGUUAAACUACUGAUAUACGUCAUUGAUCCAAAAGAUCCUUGCUCUAGCUCUAGAUCAAUAAUUUUCAACUAAAUGAUGAGAGGUUUAGCUAUUUGCCUAAGUACUUCAAUCUAAUUAAUCAUAGGAUGGUUUAAAUUUUCUGUUUAACCAAAAGAACAAAAUCAAGGGAGUUCGUGAAUGAUUCGAAAGACCAUUUGUACUCUUAUCAGCUGCUUUGAUCCACAUUAAUUUUUGGAUAUCUCAGAGAAUUGUUGUCAUUGCCAUCGAGCAUACAAGAACGACAAACCCAAUGUAAGGGAUUUUCAUUUGACCUUCUUUUUGCCCCUUCAUCCUCCACUGAUUACUUUGCUUAGGAAAUCUUCUUUCAAGCAUCUGAUAUCAAUUGCUAAUAGUAGUAGUUACUCUAAAAUUAGAAGUUUCCUUAAGUUUACUCCUUUGAUAUGACGUACGGCUCAUAUUUAAAUUGUUAUAGGUCAGUUUAGAGAUGUAAUUCGUCCAAAAUGUGCGCGUGGACCACAAGUGUGCAAAAAUGUUACCAUCUAUAGUUAUUGUCACAGAUGUCAUUUAAAGAAGGCAGCAAAGUUCAUCGUCUAUAGCUUUCUCUGUCAGUUUGCUGCUUAUCAAGGAUGGAACUAGGCUUCACUUGAUUAUUAGAAAGCCCAGGUUGCUCAUCAAUUCGCGGGGAUGCCUUUACAGAGUUGGGAUCAUUCUUUCCCACAAGUGAUAAUUGAGGUCUUUGGAGAAAUUCAAAAUCAUGGAGUAAAGCUAGAGGGGAAAAAGAGCUCAGCUACAAUAGGCUGGUCAUACUCAAAUACAAGUUGUGACUAUUCGUGAUGCAAAAACUGGUAAAAGGAAUACCAGCAAAGAUGUUAUGAUCAAACAUUUGUUGCAAUGGAUAUGCAUAUAUUCAUGAUGGAAUGGUUGAAAAAAUUUCGAGCACUCAGAUCAAGGGAACUAUACCUGACAUGAGAAAAGUUAUGCAGCAGAUGAAUCCUGUCAUAGUGAAUCUCACUCAAUUGUGAUUGACAUUAAUUAUGCAGUUAACAGGAGAAAUGUAUUAUUUAUUCAGGUAGAGCUACAGUUAUCACCGGUUGGGCAGUUAUGCAUCACUAUUUACCAUCGGUCGGGCAGUCAUGCAUUUACCACCGAGCUACGGUCAGUCGAGCAGUUACAUAUUACUAUCGAGCUACGGCCGUCCGAGCAGUCAUUCAUUUGCCACCGUGCGACGGCUUGUCAGGCAGUUAACGCCACGAGAAUAAUGUGUAGAUAGGCGAGGUGAGGACCAUCCACUGUAGGCUGCCUCCAGAUAUAAGCUUUUGGUUGGUGAGCUCCACAUCUUCCUGGAGUAUUGCCGAGUCACAUUCUAUAUAUGUUACUUUGUUUUAUGAAGAUGUCGGAGACCCUGUCCCGACUUAUAUAUUAUGAUCAUGUUUUCUUAGAGGUUUUGCAGACAGUGUCCUGUGCAUAGCUUUAGGUAUGAUAUGUCAACGGCCUUAUCGGUCAUGUAUCUAUAUAAAAUCUUUUUGAAUUAUAUA